rnacentral:lncRNA from 1 species
UCGGCUAAAGUCUGAGAAAAAACCGAACGACAUGUUUUUCGUCGGCUAAACUCUUGGACUAUAGCUGACGAAUAUCUUAAAUUUUUCGUCGGCUAAAGUCUGGGAAAAAAACCGUCGACAUGUUUUUCGUCGGCUAAACUCUGGGACUAUAGCAGACGACGUCUUCUAGUUUCGUCGGCUAAAGUCAUCGCCGACGACCUUUUCCCGACGAAAUUUUAGCCGACGAUGAAUCGUCGGCUAAGAUCUUAGCCGACGAAUUAAGCUAACAGGUUGACGAAACUUUUUCGUCGGCUAAAGUGCUUGUCCUGAUAGUGAAAUGAGUAGGGGAAGACUUGGGAUAUAAGGCAAAGCUUCUUCAGUUGUUCUAAGAACUACUAUUACAUGUAGGGCAUGGCUGCAGACAAGCUAGGGGGUGACGAGAAUGGUCACCUUGCAUGUUAAGUGUAGCUAACAAAUGGGGCAAAACCCGAUCCUGCUCAAAAUCUGAUUGAAGUUAAUUUGUUUAUAUAUCAAAAUCCGUUUCUUUUGUAUUUUAGCUUUUGGGGAGAAAAUUGACACAGUGACCCUCAUGGACAUGCAUUAUAUUAACGUUCAAUUAUGUCUAGCCAGACGGUUUACAUUUGUAUAGUAAUAGACAUGAAAUUUAUUUGGCAAUGUGAUUAUCGAAUUGCCAUUUAUUUAAAUUUUAUUUGUGUAAGGAAAAAUGACAACUUAUAAAUGGUUGUAGUGUCGAACAAAACUUUGAAAUGGUUGUUUCUGCGCGCAGUUGGCGUCUUGCAUGGACACCAUGUGUAGGCUAGCUAAAGCUAGGGCUUGUAUAAGUUUGUUGGUUUCAGCUGGUCGAUCAUCAAAUGCAUGUCGAUCUCUGUACUUGCAUAAUAAUUCUUAAAGUCUGACACGCACCACGCAUGCAUAUCAAUUCAACAUUAUGAGGAAGACGCAACUAAUGAAAUGUAACCAGCUAGUUCGAUUCAAAACUUCAGAGGAAUAUGUAUAGCUGUAUCCUAGGAAUGACCACAAGUACCUCAAGAGAUUUCAAGCUUAUUACAACUAAAUUGAGAAUAUAUAUGAAUAUCAUAGCUCAUAUAAAUUGCCAAGUAUCAUAUGGAAAGCUUAAUGUGAUAAGAUUACAUAUAACUCAGAGGAAACAUAUAUCAUAUUUUCCCUUUAUUAUUUAGGACGAUCGAUGCAUGUAGCAUAGCUAGCCGAAGAACAUUCGAAAAGUAGGUAUUGAAUUACAUGCUUUUAUUGGUACAAGUCUGUCUCAUCGUAUUCACUUUCAUGAGCUCUAUUUCUUCGAUUAUCCAACACCACCGCCACCGCCACCGCCACCGCCACCGCCACCGCCUCCGCCUCCUCCACCACCUCCACCACCUCCGCCUCCACCUCCUCCAUUGCUUCCGAAGCCAUAACCUCCACCAUAUCCACCUGACCCCCACCGCCGCCGCCUCCUCCUCCACCGCCCCCUUCAUCAUCCCCACCACCGUAUCCACCUCCACCACCAAUAUUGCUAUUUCUUCCCGAGACUCCCUUACGACUACUCCCUUGAUCUCCACAGCCACAGCAAGCAUUAGCUGCACCGGUAUCACACUUGUUCUCAUAUUGAAGCGGUCUAUUUCCAAUCUCAACUGAUCUAAAGGAUGUUUCGUGGCUACCAAUCGUGGAGGACAACAUUGAUAACAGAGGUACUAGUAGGAGAAGCACAGUACUAAACACGAAAGAGAGUCUCUUCAUGUUUGUGAGAUUUGAUCUAUAAAACAAAACUAAUACAAUUUUUGUUGGUUUUACGAUGAAAUACUUCAUGCUCGAUCAUAUAUAUGCUCAUUUAGCCGAGGCAGGAGAAGAUAUACAUGCAAAUGCAUGUGAAUGAAUAAUCUAGCUAGCUGUAAUAUUUAAGGUCUCGAUGAGUGUAUGUAACUCUCGUGAGCAGACCAUCUGGUGAUUCCCCCUUAGCGCUAGCUGAUCCAGACUUCAUCGUAAUUGGUUCUGUUUUAUCAAGGUCCGUGAAUCUGAUGACCAGAAAAGUUCUGAUAAAUCGUUACCCGUCUGAAGCAUUAUUAUUGUGUAUCCUUGAUAUCCUGCAUAUAUACAGAAUAUUAAUCCAGCCAAGCUAGCUGCUGAUCCGAUUGGUUCAUGGUGCUCCCCAAGACUUGUAUACAUGCAUUCUCUGUAUACGAAUUAUUUUUUCGUCGGCUAACGUGGGCUUUAGCUGACGAAAUUUUAAAUUUUCGUUCGUCGGCUAAUUUAAAUUUUCGUCGGCUUUGGUCAACUUUAGACGAUGAAAUUAAAAUUUCAUCGUCUAAAUAAUUUUUUUCGUCGGCUAUAGUCUGUGAACAAAAUUUUUAAAAGUUUAGCCGACGAAAAAUAUAAUUUCUUCGGCUAAAGUGUCUUAAUUUUGUCGGCUAAAGUGCCUUAUAUUUGCAGAUCUGGACAACAACUCAUCUGGGAAAAAAAAACUAUACGUAGAACCUUCAAACGCAAAAAAGUCGUGAAAUAAGAUAUGACCAGAAUGGUGAAAUAUGUCUACGGUUAAAAAAUCAUAGUAUUCCGGUAAAGACUCGGUGCCGAUAGUUGCGGUCAAUGCAAUUUACCCUUAUUAUUCACUAUGCUGCUGAUUUGACGUUUGGUGUCCAAUUAACUAUCGUGAUACCUUUCCGAAAGCGUAACGGCCCUACAAGUCAAACUCAUGGCUAAUGCCAUGACAUAUGAGCCUUUUUGGUCAUCCGAGUCCGUUUAGGGCUUCAAAAUGCAGUUUUCUUAUUUCCGAUUGACCGUUUCGAUCGAGCCCUUAACGUUGUCGAAUCCAGUUGAAUUUUUUACCAUAGAUAUCUUUCGUUAUAAUGAUCAUAUCUGAGUGUCGAAUUUUGGUUUGUGAAUUUUAGUCAUCGGAAUCACAACGUGUCUACUAUUUACCGUUAUUAUUCCCUAUGGGGAGCCCUAUCGUCGGAAGGUAAAUGUCUCAAAAUUUUUAUAUGGGCAGUUGCGUCUCAUCUAUGUGAGAGUUUUUUGUGUGGAAGGUUUGACCAAACUACGUAAUAUAGAGGGAGAUAUGAGCGUUUUCGUGUGAUAAGUGACGAUGGAUUAUGGUUGAUUGUUUCGAUCGAGCCCUUAACGUUGUCGGAUCCAGUUGAAUUUUUUACCAUAGACAUCUUUCGUCAGAAUGAUCAUAUCUGAUGGUCAAAUUUUAGUUUGUGAAUUUUAGUCAUCGGAAUCACAACGUGUCUACUAAUGUUGUAUAACUUGUUUAAUAGGUUACACAACUUUGUGAACCAACUCUACAUAGGAAGUAAAAUUAUCAAAAAUCUUGUGAAAUAAGAUGUGUUCAGAAUGGUGAAAUACGGCUAUGGUUUAAAAAUCACGUAAAUCGGGUAACGUCUCGGUGCCGAUAGUAGCGGUCAACCCUAUUUACAGUUAUUAUUCCCUAUGGGGAGCCCUAUCGUCGGAAGGUAAAUGUCUCAAAAUUUUUAUAUAGGCGGUUGCGUCUCAUCUACGUGAAAGUUUUUCGUGUGGAUGGUUUGACCAAACUACGUAAUAUAGAGGGAGAUAUGAGCGUUUUCGUGAAUUUAUAGACUUUAGCCAACGAGAUAUUAAAAAAGUCGUCGGUUAAGGUCAAUUUUUUUGGCGGUAAACCAAAUUUGGAGGAAAAUUUUCAAAAGACUUUAGCCGACAAAAAUAUAUGAAAAGUCGUCGGCUAAAGUCGAAAAAUUUUCAAAAUUUUCAACCAAAAUUUUUUGGCGGUCAACCAAAAUUUUCAAAAGAGUUUAGCCGACGAAAAUAAAUAAUUUCGUCGGGUAAAAUUCUUUAUAUAGGAGUUUUACCGGAGGUGGAUGGUAAGAAGUUAGAAAAUCAGAAAAAGGUCCGGAUUUUUUUCUCGGCCUAGCUCCGCCGUCAAGCCAUCGGAGACCGCCACACUUGUCCCAAAAGCUUCGCCGUCGUCUCUACUUCAUUGCUGGACAGGUGGUGCAUCGAGUGGCGCCGCUGUGAGGGAUAAAUCGAGGUCCAAAACUCUGCCGGUUCGGAUUCGGUGUCGAUCGAAUUUCUCCUUCCUCAAGUCACCAUUUGGUGAGCUCUAUAUAUGGAUAAGUUGAGUUUGAUUAGUACUACAUUCCCCUAGAAUUUGGUAGCUCGAUUCGCUGUGUAUGAGGAGAAUCGAAGAUUUGAAGUUUUUAGGGUUUAAAAUUGGGGAUUUUUAUAUUUUGAUUCAAUUGAUCUGUUUCGGCUUAGAAUUGGGCUUCGACUUCUUCUAGAAAGUUGUUCGAAAUGUUGAGAGGAAGAUUCUGUCAAAUUUUGGUGGUGAUUGGAGGUGGCCGAAAGUUUCUGCAGUUUUUUUUUUCCAAAAAACCAGCAACUUUAGCCGACGAUAUUUAAAGGUUUAGUCGACGAUAUUUAAAAUAUAGCCGACGAUAUUUAAAGAUUUAACCGAUGAUAUUUAAAUACUAUAUUCGUCGGCUAUAAUAUUUUUUAAUUUUUUUAUAAGGUUUAGCCGACAAAUUAUGGCAUAUUUCGUCGGCUAUAGUUAUUUUUAAAAUUUUUUUUAUAAGGUGUAGCUGACGAAACAGACUAUAUUUCGUCGGCUAUAGUCUGGGAAAAAAAAUUUUAUUACAGAGUUUAGCCGACGAAUAUCUUAAUUGUGUCGUCGGCUAAAGUUUGGGAAAAAGACCGACGACAUGUUUUUCGUCGGCUAAACUGUGAGACUAUAGCCGAUGAAAUUUUCUUUUUCGUUGGCUAAAGUCAUCGCCGACGACCUUUUCCCGACGAAAUUUUAGCCGACGAAUUAAGCUAACAGGCCGAUGAAACUUUUUCGUCGGCUAAAGUGCUUGUCCUGGUAGUAAUACCAAUAGCUACGCUAAAAGACAACUGUGUGUGUUUAGCUGUGCAGCCACGAUGCAUGGCAUGGUACUCGAUCAUCAACAAAUACAUCUUAGAUGACAUGAUAUGUCACCUAAAGACAUCACCAAUUAAAAAAGAUUAUGCCAUGUCAUUUUUAAGUAAAAAAAGACAAUCUUAUCUUUCCAAAUCCAAUGACUCUAGAUUAUUUUUUCUUUUUAUUAAGAGAAAAAAAAAAGAUUUUCUGUCUUUCUGUUAUAUUUAAAAAAUAAGAAAUUUUAAAUACACACCCCUAAUAUCCUUAAUACACACCCCUUACUUAAUACACCUCUAUCAAGUUUUUUAUUUCAAUAUUAUACUUAAUACACAUCCCAAACUGCCUAAAAUGCCCUUAAUUUAUGAAAUAUUCCGUUAUUUAAUAUAAUU